UGUCCAGCAACUCCUAUCCCUACCACCUCGUGGGACCGACUGGAAACUAUAAGCAACCUUUAGGGAAGAUCGGGUAACCAACCCCGGUGGGAACUUUGGUCAUAGGCUGACAGGGAAGG
rfam:Aedes albopictus isolate Foshan contig36369, whole genome shotgun sequence.